AUGAACGCUGGCGGCAUGCCCUACACAUGCAAGUCGAACGGCAGCAUGAUCUAGCUUGCUAGAUUGAUGGCGAGUGGCGAACGGGUAGUAAUACAUCGGAACGUGCCCUGGUAGUGGGGGAUAACUAGUCGAAAGAUUAGCUAAUACCGCAUACGACCUGAGGGUGAAAGUGGGGGACCGCAAUGCCUCAUGCUAUAGGAGCGGCCGAUGUCUGAUUAGCUAGUUGGUGAGGUAAAGGCUCACCAAGGCGACGAUCAGUAGCUGGUCUGAGAGGACGAUCAGCCACACUGGGACUGAGACACGGGCCCAAGACUCCUACGGGAGUGCAGCAGUGUGGGAAUUUUUGGACAAUGGGGGCAACCCUGAUCCAGCAAUGCCGCGUGUGUGAAGAAGGCCUUCGGGUUGUAAAGCACUUUUGUCCGGAAAGAAAUCGCACUUACUAAUAUUAGGUGUGGAUGACGGUACCGGAAGAAUAAGGACCGGCUAACUACGUGCCAGCAGCCGCGGUAAUACGUAGGGUCCAAGCGUUAAUCGGAAUUACUGGGCGUUAAAGCGUGCGCAGGGCGGUUGUGCAAGACCGAUGUGAAAUCCCCGGGCUUUAACCCUGGGGACUUGCAUUGGUGAACUUGCACGGGUUAAGAAGUGUGUCAAAAGGGGGGGUAGAAUUUCCAACU
rnacentral:rRNA from 1 species